rnacentral:rRNA from 1 species
CACGUAGGGCGCAAGCGUUGUCCGGAUUUAUUGGGCGUAAAGAGUGUGUAGGCGGUGCUCUAAGUCUGGUGUGAAAUCUCCCGGCUCAACUGGGAGGGUGCGCUAGAAACUGGAAUGCUAGAGGAUGGGAUAGGUAAGCGGAAUUCCUGGUGUAGCGGUGAAAUGCGUAGGAUAUCAGGAGGAACACCGUGUGGUGUAGACAGCUUACUGGACCAUUUCUGACGCUGAGACACGAAAGCGUGGGUAGCAAACAGG